AUUGAACGCUGGCGGCAGGCCUAACACAUGCAAGUCGAACGAGUGGCGGACGGGUGAGUAAUGUCUGGGAAACUGCCUGAUGGAGGGGGAUAACUACUGGAAACGGUAGCUAAUACCGCAUACCAUCGGAUGUGCCCAGAUGGGCUUACCUAGUUGGUGGGGUAAAGGCUCACCAAGGAGACGAUCCCUAGCUGGUCUGAGCGGAUGACCAGCCACACGGUAACUGAGACACGUCACAGACUCCGACGGUAGGCAGCAGUGGGGAAUAUUGCACAAUGGGCGGAAGCCUGAUGCAGCCAUGCCGCGUGUAUUAAGAAGGCCUUCUGGUUGUAAAGUACUUUCAGCGGGGAGGCGUUACCCGCAGAAGAAGCACCGGCUAACUCCGUGCCAGCAGCCGCGGUAAUAC
rnacentral:rRNA from 1 species